GAUGAACGCUAGCGGCAGGCCUAACACAUGCAAGUCGAGGGGCAGCACAGAAACAGCAAUGUUUUGGUGGCGACCGGCGGACGGGUGCGUAACGCGUAUGCAACCUACCUUUAACAGGGGGAUAACGGAGAGAAAUUUCCACUAAUACCCCAUAACAUCGAUCAAGGCAUCUUGAUUGGUUGAAAACUCCGGUGGUUAAAGAUGGGCAUGCGUUGUAUUAGGUAGUUGGUGAGGUAAUGGCUCACCAAGACUACGAUACAUAGGGGGCCUGAGAGGUUAGCCCCCCACACUGGUACUGAGACACGGACCAGACUCCUACGGGAGGCAGCAGUGAGGAAUAUUGGUCAAUGGGGGCAACCCUGAACCAGCCAUGCCGCGUGCAGGAAGACGGCUCUAUGAGUUGUAAACUGCUUUUAAACAGGGAUAAAGCACAGUAUGUAUACUGUGUUGAAGGUACUGUAAGAAUAAGGAUCGGCUAACUCCGUGCCAGCAGCCGCAGUAA
rnacentral:rRNA from 1 species